CAGCCUGGCCAACAUGGUGAAACCCAUCUCUACUAAAAACACAAAAAUUUCCCGGGCGUGGUGGCCAGCGCCUAUAAUCCCAGGUACUCAGGAGGCUGAGGCAGGAGAAUCGCCUGAAACCUGGAAGAAGGCGGUUGCAGUGAGCCAAGAUAGCACCACUGCACUCCAGCCUGGGUGAAAGAGCAAAACUCCAUUUCAAAAAAAAAAAGCUGCAAGAGCUCAUCACAAGCAGACCAACACCACAGAAAAGCUCUGUUUCCCUGAGGAGACCAAAUAGAUCACACCUAUCAAACCAUCUCAAAGGAAAACAAA
rnacentral:lncRNA from 1 species